UGCAACUUUUUAAAGUCUGGACAGUAUAAGUGGACAGACGGGUCCUCCUGGAAAUACACUGGCUGGAAAGCAGGAGAGCCAAAUAAUAGUGGUGGAAAAGAAGACUGUCUGGAAAUAUUCCUUGCUGAUAAAAUGUGGAAUGAUCAAAACUGUGCAGAAAGCAAGCCGUUCAUCUGUUCCUUUCCGUACACUGCCUGACCCUGCAAGGAGGAGGAGGAGGAUGGACAGGGCAUGCAAACAUUUGGAGUGUACAUGUUUAAUCAUUAAUCUAGCCUAAUUCUACUAACUUACUUCCAGUAGACCUCAAUGUAAAAAGAAUAAUCUACUGCAGUACUGCAUGUUCUAUUUGUAAAUGAAACUUUAACACAUCAAAUCCAACUAUCCUUAUUUACAAAUAAAAAUGCAUACCUUUA